UUACCACCCUGAACACGCCCGAUCUCGUCUGAUCUUGGAAGCUAAGCAGGGUCGGGCCUGGUUAGUACUUGGAUGGGAGAAGUGCAUGGCCAAAUAAUAAA
rnacentral:rRNA from 1 species